rnacentral:rRNA from 1 species
UACGAAGGGGGCUAGCGUUGUUCGGAAUUACUGGGCGUAAAGCGCGCGCAGGCGGUCUUCCAAGUCAGUGGUGAAAGCCCGGAGCUCAACUCCGGAACUGCCAUUGAAACUGUUGGACUUGAGUACGAGAGAGGUGAGUGGAAUUCCCAGUGUAGAGGUGAAAUUCGUAGAUAUUGGGAAGAACACCGGUGGCGAAGGCGGCUCACUGGCUCGUAACUGACGCUCAGGCGCGACAGCGUGGGAUCAAACAGG